CCUGAGGAAAGUUGCAAAGCACUUGAAGAAGAGAGUUAAAGAGGACGUGAAACCGGUAGGAUGGAAGCGGAUAGAGCCAGCGAAGCUGCUCGCAUUCAGCCGAAAGCCACAGGCCUCGGGCGGUCUGGAUGCUAAUCGCGCCUGAUCGUCUAUUCGCUUGUGGUUGAGGUGCAUUUGUGGGUAAUUGCGCUGAGACUUGUGGGGUAGUGGCUAGACGCGUGCAUAGAGGCUUCCCUCUGGGUUGAACCUUUGUACAUCGAUGGCUAUUUACUCUGCUCGUAAUCGGGCUUCGCCUACGGGCCUGUGCGUCUCUGUUGCGGCCGUACGGUGAAGUCGCAUGCGAUUUCUAGUUCGGUCGUCGUAGUUGCGUAUAGUGCUCUCAAGUCUGCUCUCGGUGUAGAAGCUGGUCAUCUAUCCGACCCGUCUUGAAACACGGACCAAGGAGUUUAAGGUAUGCGCGAGUCAUUGGGUGUUGAAAACUCAUAGGCGCAAUGAAAGUGAAGGCCCAGUCGCUGGGCUUACAUGCGAGUGGUCAGACUGCGGUUUGCCAUGCAGCAUGGUCCCGUUCCAAUCGCAUGCGAUGGAGCGGAGAUAGAGCGUAUGCGUUGAGACCCGAAAGAUGGUGAACUAUUCCUGAGCAGGACGAAGCCAGAGGAAACUCUGGUGGAAGUCCGAAGCGAUUCUGACGUGCAAAUCGAUCGUCUG
rnacentral:rRNA from 1 species